ensembl:snRNA U6 U6 spliceosomal RNA
CUGCUUUAGCAGCUAAUACACUAAAAUUGGACCAAUAAAGAGGCCCCUGAACAAGGAAGACACGCAAAUUUCUGAAGCGUUCCAUAUUUUU